rnacentral:tRNA from 1 species
GCUCCCAUAGCUCAGCCUGGAUAGAGCACCGGACUUCUAAUCCGGGGGUCGCAGGUUCAAAUCCUGUUGGGAGCG